CCCCUCCCCCACCCCCAACGAGCUCCGCCGCCGCCAUUUCCGCCACCGCUCCGCAACCAGUCACGCGCGCCCCUUCCCCCAAUGAUGCAGCUUCCCCGGCGGACGAGAAGGCAGGCGGCAGCGGAUCCCACCGGCACGCGCCAGCUUGAUGCGGAGAAGUGGGGGAGCGCGACUCGCACCCGCGCUCAGCUCGCACGGGAUUCGCCGACCGCGCGGCGCUCCUGUUCUCCUCCAGCAGCGCGGUCCUCACGCUCUCCACCGGCCGCGAGGAGCUCCGGCGAGAAGAACACCUCUACAUCGAGCGGGGUGCAGGGAAGGGACCAGCGUCACGCACUCGUGCUCGACGGUCACGGAACCCGAAGACCGCGGGGAUGGCUUCAGGCGAAGGCGGCGACCCUAGCGAACUGGUUCCAGAGAAGAUGAGCAAGGCCCCAAAGCCUCCGAAGGAUGCAAACUUCACUGAAAAUAUUCCUAAAAGCAGCGGUACAAGCACACGAGAGAAGAAAAAUAGGAGGAAGAGGGCUGCUGUCAAUCCCAACUUUGGCAAGAAACCCAAGGAGGUAAAGCUUGAUGAAGAGUCUAAGGUGGCCUACAACAAAUAUUUGACCCGAAAGCUAUGACUCAAAGAAGCGAGUGGGUCAGAUGAAAAAAAAAUGAUGAGCCACCAUUUGUUCAAAUUGCUGGCUACUACGUCUCAUAUGAUGAGUUCUAUGAGUCAUUCAAGCAAAGGGGCAAAAUUGACAACAAUGUGCUGUCUUUAUGGACCUACCAAUUCAAUCUUGAUGAAGCUGAAAUUCGUAAGGAAGAUGAUAGUGUUGUCAAAAAAUAUGUGUUUUCCUCCAUCACGGGGCAGCUUAUAGUUGAUCGUGCAACUUUCAAAAGUGAAACUUGCAAGAAGGAGCUUACAAGGUUGAACAAAACAUGGGACUUAUCAAAAAUGGAUUUGCUUUUUUCCCCAUUGUGCAAGAACAGCAUUGGGUUGUCACAUGCAUCAACAUAUUUUUGAAGCAAAUCAACUUCUUCAAUUCUAUAAAUGGCUCAACUAUUAUUCCAUGUUAUGAGGCUUCCAACAACCUGGUAAUUACCAGUUGCCCUUUUUUUCCCGUAUCCAUGAUUUAUUUUCUCCCCCCAAGAUUUUUCCAUGGUGCAACCAUCAUUUUUUGUCCCACUCAGGUUGCAAACUUUUCAAAGGCUGCACUGGAAUUGCAAAUUUUUAAAGAGGAUGUGUCCCAAUUUGUGCACAAAUAUCCUACAGAGUUCCCGCACCAACAUACAUUGAAUGAUUGUGGUGUCUAUUCUAUGUUGUACAUUGAAUCUUGGAAUGGAAAGAAGAUGGAUGUUGCAUGUGAAUCGAGUAUGAUUGGAGACUACCGGAAGUAUGCCAUGGGAGGAUUGCUGUUGUCCCCGAUGAAUGAAGUCAACACAUCAGAUUUUGUUGAAAAGCAUUUUGUCCAAGAUUAAUUGCCAAAUGAUAGUGUUAGCAAGUAGAUGUUUGGUAGUUAGUAGCACAUGGCUUUUGUAACUGCUCCGUGGACAGAUAGUAGCAUGUCUCAGUGAACUAUGUUAACAUGUUUUGGAUGUCAUGGGUUGUGAUAUGUUAACAUCAGCUUCAGCAUGUCAAACAUACUAUCUUUGUGAACCAUGUUGUAGUAGCUGCUCUAAGAUGUCGCAGAUAUUGUUUUCAGAUGUUACCAUACUUUUUAUGUUAGAGCAGUCCCAACUAUCUUUGUGUGGUCUCUUUUUUA